rnacentral:tRNA from 1 species
CCGCCCAUAGCUCAGUUGGUAGAGCAGUCGCCUCUUAAGCGAACGGUCGUAGGUUCGAAUCCUACUGGGCGGACAA